rnacentral:rRNA from 1 species
AGAGUUUGAUUCUGGCUCAGGAUGAACGCUAGCGGCAGGCCUAAUACAUGCAAGUCGAGGGGCAGCAGGGGUAGCAAUACUCGCUGGCGACCGGCGCACGGGUGCGUAACACGUAUGCAACUUUCCUUCAACUGGAAGAUAGCCCGAAGAAAUUCGGAUCAAUAUUCCAUAGUUAUAUGAAAUGGCAUCAUUGUAUAUUUAAAGCUCAGGCGGUUGAAGAUGGGCAUGCGUUCGAUUAGCUGGUUGGUGAGGUAAUGGCUCACCAAGGCUACGAUCGAUAGGGGAUCUGAGAGGAUUAACCCCCACACUGGUACUGAGACACGGACCAGACUCCUACGGGAGGCAGCAGUAAGGAAUAUUGGACAAUGGAGGCAACUCUGAUCCAGCCAUGCCGCGUGAAGGAUGAAGGUCCUAUGGAUUGUAAACUUCUUUUGAACGGGAGAAAACCUUCGGUCGUGUACCGAAGCUGAUAGUACCGUUAGAAUAAGGGUCGGCUAACUUCGUGCCAGCAGCCGCGGUAAUACGAAGGACCCGAGCGUUAUCCGGAUUUAUUGGGUUUAAAGGGUGCGUAGGCGGAGUGGUAAGUCAGUGGUGAAAUCUUGUGGCUUAACUGCAAAACUGCCAUUGAUACUGCCAAUCUUGAGUACAUUUGAUGUGGGCGGAAUGUGCCAUGUAGUGGUGAAAUACUUAGAUAUGGCACAGAACACCGAUCGCGAAGGCAGCUCACAAAACUGUUACUGACGCUGAGGCACGAAAGCGUGGGGAUCAAACAGGAUUAGAUACCCUGGUAGUCCACGCCUUAAACUAUGAUUACUCGAUGUGUGCGAUACACAGUACGCGUCUAAGCGAAAGCGUUAAGUAAUCCACCUGGGGAGUACGGUCGCAAGAUUGAAACUCAAAGAAAUUGACGGGGGCCCGCACAAGCGGAGGAGCAUGUGGUUUAAUUCGAUGAUACGCGAGGAACCUUACCUGGGCUUGAAAGUUAGUGAAUGCUGUGGAAACGUGCAGGCCGCAAGGGCACGAAACUAGGUGCUGCAUGGCUGUCGUCAGCUCGUGCCGUGAGGUGUUGGGUUAAGUCCCGCAACAAGCGCAACCCCUAUCUUUAGUUGCCAGCGAGUAAUGUCGGGGACUCUAAAGAAACUGCCCGUGCAAACGGUGAGGAAGGUGGGGAUGACGUCAAGUCAGCACGGCCCUUACGUCCAGGGCUACACACGUGCUACAAUGGCGAGUACAAAGGGCAGCUACAUGGUGACAUGAUGCUAAUCUCUAAAACUCGUCUCAGUUCGGAUUGAAGUCUGCAAUUCGACUUCAUGAAGCUGGAUUCGCUAGUAAUCGAAUAUCAGCAAUGAUUCGGUGAAUACGUUCCCGGGCCUUGUACACACCGCCCGUCAAACAAUGGAAGCUGAGGGUACUUAAAGUCGAUAACCGCAAGGAGUCGCCUAGGGUAAAAUCGGUAACUGGUGUUAAGUCGGAACAAGGUA